rnacentral:lncRNA from 1 species
CUAAGCUGAAUCUGCAGGCAAACACAAAGGUGAAGACAAAGUAAUAUGGCUCUUUGAAAGCUAAAUAGGUAUGCAUUCAAGAACCACUAAACAUUGUAACCAAUAUCUUCUACCUUGACCCAAAGAAAAAGAAAACUAUUUACACGGGAAAGCUCCCAACAAGCAAAAGAAGAAAGAAAAAAUAUUUUUGGGUUUUCUCAAAAGGACACAAAACAAGAAAACAAGAAAACAAAAAUAAACUAGCAUGGAUAAUACAGUGGCAAAGUGUAAACACCGGCUAACAAAGUGAAAGCAUAAGCAUGAAUGUAAAGUCGGUGAGAACACUUACUCCCCCAAGCUUAGGCUUUUGGCCUAGCUUGGUCUACUCCCAUGGUGGGAAAUCACCAGCUCCGGGAUACUCCGGAGCAGACUGUGGAUGCCACUGCUGUGUGAGAUCCUCUGGCUCCCACUGAUAAACUGGCGUCUGGUACUCGACUGGCGGCUCGGGCACGGGCGCCUGUGGUUGGGCCAAGCCCCAAUAUGCGUAGAUGUCCGAGGGCAUAAUAGUGUACCUGCCUGCAUGAAGAUCGAACAAAGAAGGAGCACGCAAAGUAGUAGUCUCUCGAGUACCCUGACUAAAUACCAGGUUAUAAAUCAUCCGUCUACU